AGUCCGACGAAGCCUUCGGGCUUAGUGGCGGACGGGUGAGUAACGCGUGAGAACCUCCCUUCAGGAUGGGGACAACCGUUGGAAACGACGGCUAAUCCCCAAUGUGCCGAGAGGUGAAAGGGUUUCCGCCUGAAGAAGAGCUCGCGUCCGAUUAGUUAGUUGGUGAGGUAAGAGCUCACCAAGGCAGCGAUCGGUAGCUGGUCUGAGAGGAUGAGCAGCCACACUGGGACUGAGACACGGCCCAGACUCCUACGGGAGGCAGCAGUGGGGAAUUUUCCGCAAUGGGCGAAAGCCUGACGGAGCAACGCCGCGUGCGGGAAGAAGGCUCUUGGGCUGUCAACCACUUUUCUCAGGGAAGAAGUUCUGACGGUACCUGAGGAAUCAGCCUCGGCUAACUCCGUGCCAGCAGCCGCGGUAAUACGGAGGAGGCAAGCGUUAUCCGGAAUUAUUGGGCGUAAAGCGUCCGCAGGGGGCGCAUCAAGUCUGCUGUUAAAGGCUGGAGCUUAACUCCGGUAGAGCGGUGGAAACUGGUGCGCUAGAGGGCGACAGGGGUAGAGGGAAUUCCCAGUGUAGCGGUGAAAUGCGUAGAGAUUGGGAAGAACACCGGUGGCGAAAGCGCUCUACUGGGUCGCACCUGACCCUCAGGGACGAAAGCUAAGGUAGCGAAAGGGAUUAGAUACCCCUGUAGUCUUAGCCGUAAACGAUGGAUAC
rnacentral:rRNA from 1 species